rnacentral:rRNA from 1 species
UACGUAGGGUGCGAGCGUUGUCCGGAAUUACUGGGCGUAGAGCUCGUAGGUGGUUUGUCGCGUUGUUCGUGAAAACUCACAACUCAAUUGUGGGCGUGCGGGCGAUACGGGCAGACUGGAGUACUGCAGGGGAGACUGGAAUUCCUGGUGUAGCGGUGGAAUGCGCAGAUAUCAGGAGGAACACCGGUGGCGAAGGCGGGUCUCUGGGCAGUAACUGACGCUGAGGAGCGAAAGCGUGGGGAGCGAACAGG